rnacentral:lncRNA from 1 species
CGGGAGGGGGUGGGGGGAAGUGGGAGGUGCCGAGGUUAGGCUCUGAACAAUAGGGGUGGGUAGGGGCGGGGCUUAAUGUGUACAGGUGACAGCCAGCCCCAAACUAGAAUUCCUUGUUACUUUUCCAGGGCUGGAUUUAGUACUUAGUAAGAGAACUGGAUCAUAGCUCUCCAAGAUAGGGACCAAGAAGUUGGGGACAGAGCCUGUUACUUGGAUGGAGACACUGGACCAAAAUAAGGGGUGGAGCUCAAAAAAGCGUUGGCGCUACUAGGCGGAAAAGGCAGGCUUGGAAGGCCGAGAACAGGAACUUGUCUGCUGGCCCUAACCCUAGCCCCACCGGGCCCACACCUUGACUGGUUGUCCGUUGCUCGUCCGUAAGAGGCUUUGGUCGUCCGCCUCGAUGCCAAAAGCCAUAAAGGGCCCCGUGGCGAUGUCCCCCCAGUAUCCGCGUGCAGCCACGCGUUCCCCACGCUGGAAAAAACCAAAGCCACCCAAAUUUCAAGCAAAUUCCACUUCCCCCCCAACAAAGGUGGGCAGCUGUGGCACCUUGAGCAGCCGAAGGCUAAGCCAGGGUAGCUGCUCCUCCAGGCGAUCAGGCUCCAGGACCAGAUUAGCCAGGUGGCUAGCCUGAGCACGCAGGAAGGCAGCUACCGAGGGUCGCAGCAGCGCGUUCCCCCACAGCUCCAGGAAGGUCUCACUCCGCUCUGGAGGAGGGAAGGAUGAAACAGGGAGGGAGGGAGACUUAAUAAACUGCACCAAUCCAGGAACUGCAGCCACCACCC